UUAAAUUGAGAGUUUGAUCCUGGCUCAGGAUGAACGCUGGCGGCGUGCUUAACACAUGCAAGUCGAGCGAUGAAGUUUCCUUCGGGAAACAGAUUAGCGGCGGACGGGUGAGUAACACGUGGGUAACCUGCCUCAUAGAGUGGAAUAGCCUUCCGAAAGGAAGAUUAAUACCGCAUAAUGUUGAAAGAUGGCAUCAUCAUUCAACCAAAGGAGCAAUCCGCUAUGAGAUGGACCCGCGGCGCAUUAGCUAGUUGGUGGGGUAACGGCCUACCAAGGCGACGAUGCGUAGCCGACCUGAGAGGGUGAUCGGCCACAUUGGGACUGAGACACGGCCCAGACUCCUACGGGAGGCAGCAGUGGGGAAUAUUGCACAAUGGGGGAAACCCUGAUGCAGCAACGCCGCGUGAGUGAUGAAGGUUUUCGGAUCGUAAAGCU
rnacentral:rRNA from 1 species